rnacentral:rRNA from 1 species
UACGGAAGGCAGCAGUGGGGAAUAUUGCACAAUGGGCGAAAGCCUGAUGCAGCUAUGCCGCGUGUAUGAAGAAGGCCUUAGGGUUGUAAAGUACUUUCAUCGGGGAGGAAAAAACAAAACUAAUAAUUUUAUUUCUUGACGUUACCCGAAAAAGAAGCACCGGCUAACUCCGUGCCAGCAGCCGCGGUAAUACGGAGGGUGCUAGCGUUAAUCAGAAUUACUGGGCGUAAAGAGCACGUAGGUGGUUUUUUUAAGUCAGAUGUGAAAUCCCUGGGCUUAACCUAGGAACUGCAUUUUGAAACUGAAAUACUAGAGUAUCGUAGAGGGAGGUAGAAUUCCAGGUGUAGCGGUGAAAUGCGUAGAUAUCUGGAGGAUACCUGUGGCGAAAGCGGCCUCCUAAACGAAUACUGACACUGAGGUGCGAAAGCGUGGGGAGCAAACAGGGAUUAGAUACC